rnacentral:snRNA from 1 species
GAAAUUGGUCUGAGUUAUGAAC